rnacentral:lncRNA from 1 species
CGUAAAUUAGUCAACUGCAUUUAAAGAUCGUGCAGGUGUUCCACAAUUGUCAACGCAGCUAAAGCUUACUUUUUUUUCCUUUCUAAGUAAGAGAGAGUCUCCUCAGAGAACGGAGCAUCCGGCGUAUGUCAGAGCCAGGGGGCACUCAUUCCUACGUUGGGAGAAGGAGUUGACCUCGGGAGAUGACCACUGAUUAUUUCUCUCGUGGGGCUGGUCAACAGACCGCUCUUUCCCCACAAAAAUAUUUACCAAAGAAGGUAUUCAAAAUUUGGAGACCGAAUUGGCCUCGCUUCUUCUUCCCCUUCCUCAUCCUCCUCCUGCCCAUCGCAAGAGCAGCCAACCGGCGAGGAGGAGAGCGGAGGGUAGCCCCGGCCCGGCGGCGGCGGCGGCGAUGCUCGCGUCGGUGGCGUUCGCUUCUGCCUUCGCGUCGCCGAAGCUACCGUUCGCCGCCAGCUCGCUGCCAGACGGAGAGAGAGAGGAGACAGCACAGCGACGUUUUAGUAAAAAAAGGUACAGUAAAACGAUGGGAUGUAAACCCGCAUGAGAUAGAGAGAGAAUCUCAGGGGAGAGAGAGAGAGAGAGAGAGAGAGAGAGAGGACUCACCUUCCAGGAAAGAUACAACGCCCGUGACCUGCAGGAGCAAAGGCAGACCGACUCAGAGGGAAUUAAAAGAAUGUCACUAAAACAACAGACAUGCAUAGAAAACCCCCGUAAUCCAAAAUAUUAUGUUGGUGUUCUCCCGAGUCAGCAAAUCAGGGGGCAGAUUAAAAGGGCGGAGAAACUUCGGAAUGCAUGCUUGUAGAGGCAAUUAGCUGCGGAUAGUAGGGAUCAGGGUUACUUCGACAAUAUGGUAAGAAAUCAGGGUAAAAUAUUCUCUUGUCGUAAGCCAGCAAUUUAGCAUUCACCCGGUGGAGAGAGAGAGAGAGAGAGAGAGAGAGAGAGAGAGAGAGAGAGAGAGAGAGAGAGAGAGAGAGAGAGAGAGAGA